rnacentral:tRNA from 6 species
UCCCCAAUAGCUCAAUCGGCAGAGCGGGUGACUGUUAAUCACUAGGUUGGCGGUUCAAGUCCGUCUUGGGGAGCCA